rnacentral:rRNA from 1 species
UACGUAGGGUGCAAGCGUUGUCCGGAAUUAUUGGGCGUAAAGAGCUCGUAGGCGGUUUGAUGCGUCGGCUGUGAAAUCCCGAGGCUCAACCUCGGGUCUGCAGUCGAUACGAGCAAACUAGAGUGUUGCAGGGGAGACUGGAAUUCCUGGUGUAGCGGUGAAAUGCGCAGAUAUCAGGAGGAACACCGGUGGCGAAGGCGGGUCUCUGGGCAACAACUGACGCUGAGGAGCGAAAGCGUGGGGAGCGAACAGG